CUCUCACCAGUAGCUCCUGUACUGGAGAGCCCAGAACUGGACACAGUGCACAGGUGUGGCCUCACCCAAGCAGAGGGGAAGGAUCACCUCCCUCAACAUGCCAGCAACACUUCCCUAAAGAAGCCCAGGAUACCCUUAGCUCUCUGCUGCAAGGGCACAUUGCAGGCUAACCCGGACCCUCACAGCCUUCUCUGAAGAGAUCUUCAGUGAAGAUGUUUAAUUGCCUGGACCUACUGUGGACCCCUGCCUACACCACUGAUCACCACGCUGUUGGGACCAGCCUUUCAGCCCAUUUUCCAUCUAUCUCUGGGCUCAUCCAGCCCAUACAUCAACAGCUUCACUAUGAGGAUGGUACAGGGGACCAUAUCAAAAGCCGGACACAAGUCAGGGUAGACAACAUGCCCUGCUCUUCCCUCAUCUACCAAGCCAGUCAUUUCUUCUGAGGGAGUUAUCACAUCGUUUAGGCAGGACUUCCCCUCUGUGAACCCAUGCUGACAUCAAGUGGUUCACCACAAAAUUAUUUACUCCUUUGCUAAAAGCAGCCUCACCCUUGCCUGACACCCCACUAGUGCUAAUGCCACCCUGCCUGUGAGGUCUUUUGAUGAAAUCCACUUGACUGUCAUCUCUUCAACAUACUUACUGGGAAGGGCUGAACUUGUCCCCCUCCCUGCUAUCCUGAGAGCACAGAGGGGUUCCACAAAACCCCCAGGCACAUGUGCACCAGGACUCGCUGAGAGAUGGCUGGCCAGCCAAAAGCCAGAGCCACUGCCUCCAGCACCUCCUUCUUCACCAAAGUAGCAGUCUGUGCCAGCAGCUUUGCUCCAGGUUUGGCUUUGACUUGCACAACUAAGACAACGUUGGCCAAGUCUGCUUGCAUACUGGGACCACAGUCAGCAACAUGCAGUACCAAACAGGAGACAAUAAACACCAGCAUCCAUUUA